GACGAACGCUGGCGGCGUGCUUAACACAUGCAAGUCGAACGGAAAGGCCCCCACCUUGGUGGGGGUGCUCGAGUGGCGAACGGGUGAGUAACACGUGGGUGAUCUGCCCUGUACUUCGGGAUAAGCUUGGGAAACUGGGUCUAAUACCGGAUAGGACCAUGGUUUAGUGUCUCAUGGUGGAAAAAUUAUUGUUUUGGUGCAGGAUGAGCUCGCGGCCUAUCAGCUUGUUGGUGGGGUAAUGGCCUACCAAGGCGUCGACGGGUAGCCGGCCUGAGAGGGUGGACGGCCACAUUGGGACUGAGAUACGGCCCAGACUCCUACGGGAGGCAGCAGUGGGGAAUAUUGCACAAUGGGCGCAAGCCUGAUGCAGCGACGCCGCGUGGGGGAUGACGGCCUUCGGGUUGUAAACUCCUUUCGUUAGGGACGAAGCCACACCUUUUUUGGGUGUGGUGACGGUACCUUUGUUAAGAAGCACCGGCUAACUACGU
rnacentral:rRNA from 1 species